GGCAGAUAAUCGACGUUUACUUUAUCUUCAUGAGAAAUAUUCACGACUUUUGAUUAAACAACGAUAGCCAAUUGAACGAUAAUCGAUUAUUUAAACGAAAAACAGAUUACCAAGGAGGCGUUUGUUGCCAUAUAAAGUCGGCUUAGAAUGCAGGUCGUUCUCUCUUCUCCCGCGGUCCAUCGAGGUGAACGCGCGAUUACCACGGGUCGAGGCAUGAACACAGACUGUCGUACCUGCGAGGAGGGGCGAGCUUCGCGGUCGAAGCUCGUAGCCCGACUGGCAUCGCUGCUCUCUCGAGCUUACGGCCAAGGAGCGAUCACCGAUGCUGAUUGACGCGUGUGCUAUACGCAGCCUUUCAAUUCGUCCAGACGAUUAUUUUAUAACGAAAGAAUCAAAAAGGAAAAGAAGGAUGCUGUAGAACAGGAAGACCUAUUUAUCAUACGACGAGGCCCAGCCGAUCGAAACUGCUUUCCGGUAAAGCCACUCUGAAUGAGCAUGCGCAUUAAACAAUCACGUAAAAUUCACACUGGCCGCCUCUACAGGAUAGAAUUCUCCAGGGAUUAAUUCCGUUGCAUCCGUGGUUGUAGUUCAUCUCGAUUAACCAUCGUUAUAUAGACACACCUUUGGCCUGAUUGUCCGGAUUCGAGAUCCGGAUUGCGAAAUUCGAGAAAAUUUGGUUGGCACAUUUUUAAAGCGACUGUUUCCUUGCGAAGGAUUACCUUACGUACCUUUUCGCAAAUCAUAUUCAGUGUAAGUUCAUUACCUCGCAGAGGACAGAGACGAAUCGUGUUCGUGAACGUGGCGAGAAAGUCGAGUGGGAAUAAAUACGGUUCCGCUGAUUUUCGAAAGGAGAUUCGACAUCGAGGCGAAAACAGUGGGUAUGUUUUAUGGAGGAGGUUGGGGUGAAGGUUUUAAAGACGAGGGAUUGAGAUUUUUAGAUGGAUGGUCGAUGGAGGAUUGGUUUGGUAUGGGGAUGUGAUGGAUUUGUGAAGAAUUCGAGAUUUCGAAGAAAAAUAUAUUUGGAGAGAAGGAAAUUAAAUAGAUGGAUCGAGAGGAAAAGAUUUUGAAAGUUAGGG